UACGUAGGGUGCAAGCGUUAAUCGGAAUUACUGGGCGUAAAGCGUGCGCAGGCGGUGAUGUAAGACAGAUGUGAAAUCCCCGGGCUCAACCUGGGAACUGCAUUUGUGACUGCAUCGCUGGAGUACGGCAGAGGGGGAUGGAAUUCCGCGUGUAGCAGUGAAAUGCGUAGAUAUGCGGAGGAACACCGAUGGCGAAGGCAAUCCCCUGGGCCUGUACUGACGCUCAUGCACGAAAGCGUGGGGAGCAGACAGGAUUAGAAACCGUACUAG
rnacentral:rRNA from 1 species